rnacentral:rRNA from 1 species
GAUUUUAUUGGUCAUGGAUGGACUCGCGGCCUAUCAGCUUGUUGGUGAGGUAAUGGCUUACCAAGGCGACGACGGGUAGCCGGCCUGAGAGGGUGACCGGCCACACUGGGACUGAGACACGGCCCAGACUCCUACGGGAGGCAGCAGUGGGGAAUAUUGCACAAUGGGCGCAAGCCUGAUGCAGCGACGCCGCGUGAGGGAUGACGGCCUUCGGGUUGUAAACCUCUUUCAGUAGGGAACAAGGCUAGUCGUUGACUGGUUGAGGGUACUUGCAGAAGAAGCGCCGGCUAACUACG